AAAGUGGAUGAUGUGGACGUCAGCUGCUGCGCUUCCUCACGGAGUGGAAACAGUGGAAGAAGGCUUUUCCACCACAGUCCACCAGCCAAACACAGCUUGCCAAGGUCUGCAGCUCUCUGGACACCUUGACGGACACACUCAUCACCAUGUCCACAUUGUGAUUAUAGGAUUAAAAUUAAUAAACACCUAGUUUUCAAAAAAUACUGUAGAUUCCUGUAAUUUAAAACAUCAGCAUACUGUUUGGUGCCUCUAUCCUGUUGCUUCAAGUUAAGCUACCCACAAUGCAUUGUUAACUACAGUACUAAACCAUUUUACAUGAAAACAGUAUUUUAGUGUUGAAAAUUGGCUGUAAAUUUACUGCAAUAAUUUACAGUGUAGGUGACAAAACCAUGUAAAGUAAAUUCAAUCAGAUCCAAAAUCACAUAGUAUUGAGGUGGGAAUAAUGCUACACAAAUAAAUAAGUCCAAACUAGGUUCUGACGAUCACUGUUGUGAUCACUAUUCACAGGUCAUGGUUCCCCCUCCUUUUGAUUAGCACAACGGCACCGAUGAGAGCGAACAGUUGCCAUGGAGAAACAUGCAAUCAGCUGGUGUUUCUCUCCCUUUCACUGCAUGUACCCUCCCCUCAAUCUCUUCCUCUGACUGUAGACACUACAGGCCCUGUUGUAGUCAGAUAGUGAGGGAGCAUUUGCAGUGUGGGAGGGAGGAUCUCAGAUGUUCAUGUUGGAGAACUCAUCUCCUGUUCCGGUCCUAGGUCCUGUCUCUUUAAGAACCCCCUCCAAAUGAAGUCCAUUCUGCUCUGACUGGCCAGCUUACCUACUCUGAUGUGAUUGGUCAACCACUUCCAGUGCAUGUAAGAAGUGUCCACUUCAGCUUUUGCUUUACCUGGCAUUGUUUGGGGGUUUGCCAGAUUAGCCUCUAGGCACUUCUCUAACAUCGUGAAAUCACAGUGAAUUGGCUGGACUUCUGAUGAGGCAUUUCAAGAGUUUCAGGAGUAGACGCUCAAAAGUGCAAGAAUUAAUAAAGUACAAGUGGUUCAAGUACUUAUUUGUAAUUAAGUGUUUUUGUGUGUUUAAUAUAACAAAUUCAGGGAGUAAGGUGCAGUCUGAACAGGUGAGUUUUCAGUUCUGCUGUCCUGAUGCCAAUGCGGAGCUCGUUCCACCAUAAAGGAACCCGGACAGAAAACAGAUGGGAUUUAGAUGAGCGGUGGCUGGCCGCCCCUCGCAGUGAGGGAUUAGCAAGCGGAGUGGUUGGGCUGGGGUGUAGAGUUUGACCAUUUCAUCCUGGAUGUAGGAUGGGCCUGAACCAUUCGCAGCACGGUAGGCGAGUACCAGUGCCUUGAAUCGUAAUCGAGAGACCACCGGAAUUCUGUGCAGUGUGGGAGGAGCACUGUAGUGUGGGAUAACUUGGGUAGAUUUAAGUCCACCGGGGUUGUCCAGUGUCACACCCAGGUUCCUUCCAGGUUCAUCUGCGUAGCUAUGGUAGGAAAAGCCAUGUGAGUGAAUGACAGAGCCUAAUGACCUGAGGAAGGGGCCCAGAAAAGAGCCCUGAGGGACCCCAGUAGUGAGGUUGCAGGGUUCGAACAUCGAUUCUCUCCAAGUAACCCUGUAAGUGCGGCCCUUGAGGUAGGAUGCAAAUAGGGAGAGUGCUGAGCCUGAGAUUCCCAGUUGUUGGAGGGUGGAGAGUAGGAUCUGGUGGUUCACUGUGUCUAAAGCUGCUGAGAGGUCGAACAGGAUGACAACAGAGGAGAGGGAGGCUGCUCAAGCUGUGUGGAGUUCCUCUGUGACACCUAGGAGGGCAGUCUCUGUUGAGUGCCCUGCUUUGAAUCCAGAUUGGUGGGGGUCAAUAAGGUUGUUCUGGUGGAGAUAUGCAUAAAGUUGAGUUAAGACGUUCAAGAGUUUUUGAAAGACAUGGAAGAAGAGAGUAGUUUAUCACAUCAGAUGGGUUGAGUGCAGGUUUCUUUAAAAAAGGAUUCACUCUUGCUGCUUUAAGAGUGUUGGGAAAGUAACCUGUUGUCAGAGAGGUAUUGAUGAGGUGGAUGAGGAACGGAAGGUGGUCAGGAGCAAUACACUGAAGAAGGUGAAAGGGGAUAGGAUCAAGGGGGCAUGUGGUGGGGCGGUGGGGUGUGACCAAGGAUAGUAGCUCACUGGGAGGGAGUGGUGAAAAAGCGACUAGCGAAGGAGAUGAGGAGGAGGGUGAAGGACAGGUAGUGUCAGUAGGGGGUCAAGAAAUGAGGAGUGAAUGUCAUCUAUCUUUUUUGCAAAGUAGUUUACAAAGUCGCUCGGAGGAAGGGAGGAGGAAGAGCGGGGAGCUCGAGGAGGUUAGAGAAAAUGGAAAAAAGUUUCUUGGGGUCGAAGAGGGAAGAUUGAAUUUUAGAUUCAAAGAAAGAGCUUUUAGCAGCAGAUAAGGAUGCAGAGAAAGAGGAAAGAAAAGAUUUAUAGGCAAGAAGAUCCUCAGGGCAUUUGGAUUUGUGCCAUUGUCGUUCAGCUGCUCGCAGGGAGGUUCUGUGAGACUGCACUGAGUCAGACAACCACCGAACUGGACGGGCUAGCCCACCGAGAGGUUAAAGGACAGAGGGAGUCCAGGGAAGAGGACAAGGUAGAGAGAAGAGUGUCUGUGGCAGAGGCAGGAGUGAGAAGGAGUCAGCCGAGGGGAGAGUCGAUAGAACAGAUGAGCCAAGAGAGAAGGGGGACAGGGAGCGAAGGUUGCGGCGGACAGGUACAGUAUGAGUGGAAGAGGGAAGGUUGGCAGUUUGAGAGAGGGGAAGAGGGUAGGAUAUGGUAGUGGUCAGAGACAUGGAGAGGAGUGACAGAGAGCAAGGUUGGUUACCAGCUUUGUGAGUUUGUGAAGGGGGGGGGGGAUUGAUAGAGCGAAGGAGGAUAGAAAGACUAACAGCUGGGAAAGUUAACUUCUCUGUCUGGAUGUUGAAGUCACCGAGAAGUACUAGUGGGGGGCCAUCUUCUGUGAUGUUAGAUGGGAGGACGUCCAAUUCCUCCUAGAAAUCCCCAAGAGGGCCAGGUGGGCUGUAGAGUACAAUGAUCUUUAAUUUCACCGGGUGACUUACAGAAACAGCACCAAGUUCGCAGGAUGAAGGAGUGAAGUGCGGAAUGGGGUAAAGAGAGAGUUUCCAUUCAGGAGAAAGUAGCAAACCAGUGCCUGGUGUAGGCUGAGGAGGGGGCAGCAGGGGACAACUCCUGUUGUCAGGAGUUAUCCAGGUCUCAGUCAGUGCGUUAACAUACAGUUUAAAAACCUGAUUAUACUCGGGUUAAAGUUUCUCAAACACCAUGUAAACACCUGUAAACAUCAAGAAGCAACGGCGCCAAAAACAACAAAAGCUUUAAAUUGAAACCCAAGGACGUCGCCAUGGUAAGUGCUACCAAGAGGACCCAUUUCUGGACGAACAAGGAGUCACAUUUUUUGUUGUGCUAACUAAAGGACCUAAAUAUACUGAGGAGCAUGGAUGGCAGGAAGACAAAGAAUGCUGAGGCGCCGACAAACUAAAAGAAGUUGGUUAUAACCACAGCGUUGAGCAGAUUCAACACCGAUGGAAACAUUUAAAAACUGCAGGAAAAUGAAUCAAAUAAGUGGCAAUAGUCCUAUAACCUGCCCACACCAAGAGUUGAUGGAAGAGCUGAUUGGACACCGACCCUUAGCCCAAGCUAUGGAACAUGGGGUGGACAUAGGCCUUCAAGGUAAUUCUACACCGAGUUACACUUUCCGACUACCUAGCUAAUGAUGUAUAACGAUAACGUGUAGUAACACCAAAUGCAUGAAAGAAAAGGUAGUAAGACAGUUUUUUUUACAUACAACAUGGGUAUUUGUGCUCUUAUGUUACUUUGCCUACACCAUUUAGUUGUAACUGUUCUGGAGAGCAAGAUAAAAUACAGACAAGACACAUUCUUUCAAUUAAAGUGUAAUAGGAUUUAAACCAAUCUGUUUUUGUGCCCUCUAGACAGUAUGCAGGAGGACACCCUUGAAGAUUCUGCUGUGUCCUCGUGGGAGCAAGCACUCCUCAGCCAAGUGUCUCACUUAGCCAUUCUUUGACUGGAGUUUCACUGCCAUCUGCAGGGAGGAGAAGACCGCGCCAUACUGCUGACAUGGACCAUUUUUUUGAUAGAAUGCAGGAGAUGCAGAACUCUUUCAUGCAGCAGUUCCAACAGAGCCAGGAAAGGGAGGAGCGCCUUGUGAACAAUAUGAUGGACAGUAACACAUGCAUGGUGACUGCUCUUAUUGAAGGCAUCUGCAGCCUGCGGCCUCCAGUGCCACGACAACCCACCUACACGGGUACCCCCGGACCUGGACCUAGCAACCAGCAUCGUGUACCAUCACAUGUGAUAGAACACUUUAUAAAUAUUUAAAAUGCACAUUGUUAAGUUAACCUCUUGUUGACAGAAUAAAAAGAAUGUAGAAAUAAUAUUAUGACCAUGUUUAUUAUUUGAAAAUGUACAAGCAUGUAAAAAAGCACACAUUCACAAAUGAGAAACAUUUUUAUUUAAAAAAUGGUUUUGGCAAUGGGAAAUUAGCUUUUAUAUACUCUGUCAAAGCUAGCCGGACUUCCUGACCAGCAGAAGACUCUGAUACAUUAUAUGUGCGGCAGCUGGCUAUGGUAGGUCAUGCUUCAACAUAGCAGCACCCUCUGUCCAGACAGGGUUUAAACCCUCUUUUUCAAGUUUCAACAAUUGUGUAAUGCACAACAGGUGGCAACAACAUGAGGGGUAAAUGUGUAAAGAAAAUCACUUCUUUUAAGUAAAACUCUCCAGUCUACAAAAGGCAAUCUCAACUGUCGUACUGGCGGAACUAAGGUAGACAUUAAAUUACUCUUGCUCAGGAGUUAGUCGUGAAGACUGGGUGUAAUCCUUGAUGAGGCAGUCCAUAAGUGGAUACUCGUUGGUUUCCUCGAAUGGACUUGUGUACACAAAUCUGGUUGGAAAACACUUCACAGUUCUCCGGUGUAACGGGUAGAACGAAACAUUUAAUCCACAGUUUGUGAAACCUUACAGAUGUAUCCAAAGCAAAUUAGAGAUGGGUAUACUACGGUAAGAAAACAGUGUCGCUUGGUCGGUUUGCUGACAAACAUCAAAGGCACAUUGAUACUAUUGUCCAGGACAUCAAAGCCAUAAGCUACUUCUCUUAAGGUGACAGUAACAUGCUUAACUAUUAGACCUACGGUACUAUAAACAAUAUAAACUGCACUCAUUCUAGACAGUGUAUAUUGGCUCCCACAUACCGGCCCCUAAUUGUGCUCAUAUCUGGAGACAAUUACCAAAUUAUAACACGUGGAGUCAGAUAAACUAAUGUAACGUAACACAAUCUAGCACUGCGUAUUACUGUCUAUUCGGCCUCCUCCAAAUCUCCAAAGGCAUAUCUUCUUGAUGGGUCUGUCCAGCAUGCUAGUCUUGGUCUUGAUCCGGACCUGACGCACCAUCCCGUACAUGUCUGGGACUGUCUGAAUGACCUUUGCCAUGACCCAAACGUAGCGUGCUGCUCAGUCCACCUGAUCCUCUCCCAGAC